GAUGAACGCUGGCGGCGUGCCUAAUACAUGCAAGUCGAGCGAACAGAUGAGGAGCUUGCUCCUCUGACGUUAGCGGCGGACGGGUGAGUAACACGUGGAUAACCUACCUAUAAGACUGGGAUAACUUCGGGAAACCGGAGCUAAUACCGGAUAAUAUAUUGAACCGCAUGGUUCAAUAGUGAAAGACGGUUUUGCUGUCCCUUAUAGAUGGAUCCGCGCCGCAUUAGCUAGUUGGUAAGGUAACGGCUUACCAAGGCAACGAUGCGUAGCCGACCUGAGAGGGUGAUCGGCCACACUGGAACUGAGACCCGGUCCAGACUCCUACGGGAGGCAGCAGUAGGGAAUCUUCCGCAAUGGGCGAAAGCCUGACGGAGCAACGCCGCGUGAGUGAUGAAGGUCUUCGGAUCGUAAAACUCUGUUAUUAGGGAAGAACAAAUGUGUAAGUAACUAUGCACGUCUUGACGGUACCUAAUCAGAAAGCCACGGCUAACUACGUG
rnacentral:rRNA from 1 species